UACGAGGGGUCCUAGCGUUGUUCGGAAUCAUUGGGCGUAAAGCGGGUGUAGGCGGAUUAGUAAGUCAGAUGUGAAAGCCCUGGGCUCAACCCAGGAAGUGCAUUUGAAACUACUGAUCUUGAGUGUGGUAGAGGCUAGUGGAAUUCCUGGUGUAGCGGUGAAAUGCGUAGAUAUCAGGAGGAACAUCGGUGGCGAAGGCGGCUAGCUGGACCAACACUGACGCUCAGACCCGAAAGCGUGGGGAGCAAACAGG
rnacentral:misc_RNA from 1 species